rnacentral:misc_RNA from 1 species
GAUGAAGAACGCAGCGAAAUGCUAUAAGUAGUGUGAAUUGCAGAAUUCAGUGAAUCAUCGAAUCUUUGAACGCACAUUGCGCCCCUUGGUAUUCCAUGGGGCAUGCCUGUUCGAGCGUCAUUUGUACCUUCAAGCUUUGCUUGGUGUUGGGUGUUUGUCUCGCCUUUGCGUGUAGACUCGCCUUAAAAUAAUUGGCAGCCGGCGUAUUGAUUUCGGAGCGCAGUACAUCUCGCGCUUUGCACUCAUAACGACAGCGUCCAAAAGUACAUUUUACACUCUUGACCUCGGAUCAGGUAGGGAUACCCGCUGAACUUAAGCAUAUCAUAAGCGGAGGA